GUCAUGAGGAAACACAGCAGAGUGACAUAAUAUAUUGAUUCUCAUCUUUCAUCUGACAGGAACAGUCACACAACCUUCAGUCACAGGUCACAUCCCAGUUUGCUGAACUGCACCGGAUUCUCACUGAGAAAGAGCAGCGCUUCCUCGGAGAUAUCCGGGAAGAAGAGGCGAAGAUUGUAAAAACAAUGGAGAAAAAUCUGCAAGAAAUUCAAGAGAAUUUAAAUUCCAUUCAGGAGGAACUCUCAAUGUUGCAGGAACAGAUAGACCACAAGGACAGCGUGGUGUUUCUGAAGGAGGAAGCUGGUCGCAAGAGCAGGGUUAUUGAUGAAACCAAAACAAUGUUGGCGGUAGAUAGCGCGUUUCCCAUUGAAAAGUUU